rnacentral:rRNA from 1 species
UCAGAUUGAACGCUGGCGGAUGCUUUACACAUGCAAGUCGAACGGUAGAGGGGGCAACCCCUUGAGAGUGGCGAACGGGUGAGUAAUAUAUCGGAACGUGCCCAGUCGUGGGGGAUAACGUAGCGAAAGUUACGCUAAUACCGCAUACGAUCUAAGGAUGAAAGCGGGGGAUCGCAAGACCUCGCGCGACUGGAGCGGCCGAUAUCAGAUUAGGUAGUUGGUGGGGUAAAGGCUCACCAAGCCAACGAUCUGUAGCUGGUCUGAGAGGACGACCAGCCACACUGGAACUGAGACACGGUCCAGACUCCUACGGGAGGCAGCAGUGGGGAAUUUUGGACAAUGGACGCAAGUCUGAUCCAGCCAUUCCGCGUGCAGGAUGAAGGCCCUCGGGUUGUAAACUGCUUUUGUACGGAACGAAAAGGUCUCUCCUAAUACGAGAGGCUCAUGACGGUACCGUAAGAAUAAGCACCGGCUAACUACGUGCCAGCAGCCGCGGUAAUACGUAGGGUGCAAGCGUUAAUCGGAAUUACUGGGCGUAAAGCGUGCGCAGGCGGUUAUAUAAGACAGAUGUGAAAUCCCCGGGCUCAACCUGGGAACUGCAUUUGUGACUGUAUAGCUA